GUGACUUAGAAGUUCUUAAUGUUCUGUGAAUUCCCAGCAAUGUUUGAACAGGACGUUCAAACAAGCCACCAGUGAGCCACGGAUGGCGAAUUGGUGGCGGUUGCGUCCGGUACCAAUUCUAUAUAUCAGAACAUUUAGAACUUCUUAGUUAC
rnacentral:ncRNA from 1 species